rnacentral:rRNA from 1 species
GAUGAACGCUGGCGGCGUGCUUAACACAUGCAAGUCGAGCGAGAUUUUGUAAACCGAAUUUUCGGAGGAGGUUUACAAAUGAAAGCGGCGGACGGGUGAGUAACGCGUAGGCAACCUACCUUAUACAAAGGGAUAGCCUCGGGAAACUGGGAUUAAUACCUUAUAACACUUUAGUAUCGCAUGAUAGUAAAGUCAAAGAUUUAUCGGUAUAAGAUGGGCCUGCGUCUGAUUAGCUAGUUGGUAGGGUAAUGGCCUACCAAGGCGACGAUCAGUAGCCGACCUGAGAGGGUGAUCGGCCACACUGGAACUGAGACACGGUCCAGACUCCUACGGGAGGCAGCAGUGGGGAAUAUUGCACAAUGGGCGAAAGCCUGAUGCAGCAACGCCGCGUGAGCGAUGAAGGC